GACGAACGCUGGCGGCGCGCCUAACACAUGCAAGUCGAACGAGCGAGAGAGAGCUUGCUUUCUCGAGCGAGUGGCGAACGGGUGAGUAACGCGUGAGGAACCUGCCUCAAAGAGGGGGACAACAGUUGGAAACGACUGCUAAUACCGCAUAAGCCCACGGUGCCGCAUGGCACAGAGGGAAAAGGAGCAAUCCGCUUUGAGAUGGCCUCGCGUCCGAUUAGCUAGUUGGUGAGGUAAUGGCCCACCAAGGCGACGAUCGGUAGCCGGACUGAGAGGUUGAACGGCCACAUUGGGACUGAGACACGGCCCAGACUCCUACGGGAGGCAGCAGUGGGGAAUAUAGCACAAUGGGGGAAACCCUGAUGCAGCGACGCCGCGUGGAGGAAGAAGGUCUUCGGAUUGUAAACUCCUGUUGUUGGGGAAGAUAAUGACGGUACCCAACAAGGAAGUGACGGCUAACUACGUG
rnacentral:rRNA from 1 species